AUGAGAAAACUGAAGCAAAAUGACUUGCCCAGGGUGAGACAGCUAGUGUCAGAGGCUAGAUUUGAACUCAGACCUUCUUGAUUCCAGGUCUUGAAUUCUAUCCAUUGUGACAACAUGUUAUCUCAUAUGAUAGUCUCAUCUGCCUCUCAAGUUCACUGAGGUACAUAUGUAAGGGCUUAAACAACAAUAGCAUUGGAGGAGAAAAGGAACCAUAUUCAACAGACAAAUUUUGGAGGCUCCACAUUUUCAUUUUGAAUGAGAUAAAGUGAUGUCUUGACUUGAAAGUGAAUUGAAUUUAACAGAAGAAGAAUUGCACAAAGUAGUCAUCCUCACCAAGUCCCGUGGCAAGACAAGAGAUGAGGAAACUGAGGCCGAGAUCGUAAGUCAGCCAGCAUCAUACAUACUGUUAGUAUGCAUUUGCACUCAAGUUCUCCUCACUCCAGAACUUGUACUCUAUCCAGCUCUCUACUGUAGCUAGCCACCAUGAUAAUUCAUAUCCCUCCUCUUUUCACUGCUUGCACAACAAUCAUCCUAGGUCUGGCUGUUAUCACUUCUUGCUUAGGUUAUUACAGUGGCCUCCUAAUUGUUCUCCCUGUUUCCAUUUUCUCAGCACUCUAAUCCCUCUUUCUCACAUAGUGUUUUUCCUAAAGUGGCGGCUCCCUAUUGACCAUAGGUCACAUUAUUUCAUCUUUAUUCCAUCCUUUUAAAAUUUCUGCUUUUAUGUUUUAUAAUGUAAAUAAUUACUGACACAGUGGUACAUGCAUAUAAUUUGUAAAUAAGUCAAUUUGCAAAUAUAUAUAUAUAUAAGGCAUGUACACCCCAAUUUUUUAAACCCUUACCAUCCACCUUAGAAUCAACGUAAUGUAUUGGUUCCAAAGCAGAAGAGUGGUAAGGGCUAGGCAAGGGGGUAAGUGACUUGUCCAAGGUCACACAGCUAGGAAGUAUCA